AGCAUUGGCUUGAAAAGCUUCGAACCCUAAUAAAUUUCAACCAUAACCCUUCCUCCUGUGUGCUCUGCGGACCAGAGAGCUUCAUUGAGAAGCUCCCUCUCUCUCGCUCGCCAUCAUCUCUUGGGGUGACUACAAAUUCUCUGCGUCCUCUCUCUCUAAACUCAGGCGCUCUCCCUCCUCAUUCGCUCUAGGAAUUUUAGCCAUACCCCCUCUUCCUACGUGCUCUGCGAACCGCAUAGCUUCAAUGAGAAUCUCCCUCUCUCUUGGUCGCCAUCGUUUCUCCGGGCGACUACAAAUGCUCUGCAUCCUCUCUCUCUAAAUUUUAGCCGCUCUACCCGCUCAUUCGUUCUAGUAAGCUUCUUGUAGCUACUGGCAUCUCAAGGAGGUAGCACGCUGAGGAAAAACCAACCCAAGACGACUCACCAUUAGGGCACUGAAAACGGUAUACUAUACAUGUGUCAUGGACGCCUCAACAUCAGCAUCUCCUUCCUCUCCUGUUGACCUUACUAGUUCAAAAAAUGGGCACGAGUGUGGUGCACAGGCUAUGGUAGAUGAAGCUUGCCAUGAUUUUCCAUUUGAUGAGGAUAGUUGCAAUAGUUGGACAAGGAGAUCCUAUAUUUAUAAAUGCAUAGGCAGCCCUAGCAAGAGGUGCAAGUAUCAAACCGGCAAUGGGAAUGAUAUUUACUGACAAAGAUGAAGCUUCUUAUUAUUAUAAUAAGUACACAAAAUUCGUAGGGUUUGGUAUAAGAAAGAGAAGGACCAUAUGGAAAUAUGGUGAAAAAAUUGGUCAGAUAGAAUGUUGUAGGCAAGGUUUUCGUAGUGAGAUGUAUAAUGGGAGUGAAAAUGCUCGGCCCCACACAAAAUGUGGAUGUCAGGCAAAGAUCCGCAUUAAGAAGAAUGAGAAGUAGAGAUGGGUUAUUGCAAAGUUUAUAAAAGAAUAUAAUCAUAUUCUCACAACGCCCAACAAGACUAGAUUUAUUCGCUCUCAUCAAAAGAUACCAAACACAUUGAAAACGGUGAUUGACACAUUGGAGUCGUCUAUAGCUAAGUCUAGGAUUACAAUGGAUAACCUUAUUGAAGAGGCCGGCGGCGUAGAAAAUGUCCCUUUCAUUGAGAAAGACCUUGAGAAUCACAUAACUAGAAAGAGAAAAUAACUGAAAGGAAAAGAGGGUAAUGUUGUUAUGAACUAGUUGCAUACGAAGAAAGAAUUGGACCCCAACUUCUUUUAUAGAGUUUGACUUGAUGA